GCGGGGAAUAUUGGACAAUGGGGGGAACCCUGAUCCAGCCAUGCCGCGUGUGUGAAGAAGGCCUUUUGGUUGUAAAGCACUUUAAGCGAGGAGGAGGCUACCGAGAUUAAUACUCUUGGAUAGUGGACGUUACUCGCAGAAUAAGCACCGGCUAACUCUGUGCCAGCAGCCGCGGUAAUACAGAGGGUGCAAGCGUUAAUCGGAUUUACUGGGCGUAAAGCGCGCGUAGGUGGCCAAUUAAGUCAAAUGUGAAAUCCCCGAGCUUAACUUGGGAAUUGCAUUCGAUACUGGUUGGCUAGAGUAUGGGAGAGGAUGGUAGAAUUCCAGGUGUAGCGGUGAAAUGCGUAGAGAUCUGGAGGAAUACCGAUGGCGAAGGCAGCCAUCUGGCCUAAUACUGACACUGAGGUGCGAAAGCAUGGGGAGCAAACAGGAUUAGAUACCCGUGUAGUCC
rnacentral:rRNA from 1 species